rnacentral:rRNA from 1 species
AGCAGUCGCCGCGGUAAUACGUAGGGUGCAAGCGUUAAUCGGAAUUACUGGGCGUAAAGCGUGCGCAGGCGGUCCGCUAAGACAGAUGUGAAAUCCCCGGGCUUAACCUGGGAACUGCAUUUGUGACUGGCGGGCUAGAGUAUGGCAGAGAGGGGUAGAAUUCCACGUGUAGCAGUGAAAUGCGUAGAGAUGUGGAGGAAUACCGAUGGCGAAGGCAGCCCCCUGGGUCAAUACUGACGCUCAUGCACGAAAGCGUGGGGAGCAAACAGGAUUAGAUACCCGGGUAGUCCCUGUCUCUUAUAC